AUAUGUACUCAGCUUUGCUGAUUCAUGCUUUUGUGUUUGUGUUUGGCUUUCCUUUGGAUUGGCCCUACUAUGACCCAUUUUUCUAUUGCGAGUAGAGGGUUUAAUAAAGAGGAAGUAACAGGUACUUGAAGCAUGAAGAACAUGAUAGGAUAGAGUGCAGAGAACUACUUGUUAUGUUUCUUAGUUUUAAUGUUUUUGAAUUAUUGGUUUGUUUAUGGACUAACAUUAUUAUGUUUAUUUUUUAUUGGUUUUUAAGAAGGGUCAUAUGUUUUGAAUUGGUUCCAACUUGUGGAUGUUUUAUUCUACAUUUGUUUUGAGGUUGUGAACUUGCUUUAAGUUUUAUUUUUAAAAGUUGGUUUUUGUUUUAGACUUCCGUUGUGAGACUUUGGAAACUAGCCUUAGCCGUUAUCACGUUAGCGGUAAUAUUUUGGUUAUUUCCUAAAAAGGUUUUAUUUAGAGUAGAAGGAGUGUUUUUAAAAGAAGGAAAUUUCCAGGGUAUUACAAUGAGGUUGAGUCAGAGUACAUUGUUACUCACACUAAUAUGUAUAAGAAGCGUAAAGUUGUUCCGCCACCGCCAAAACCCCCAAGCAGACCUCCUUAGAAACAGCAGAGGAUUGUGAGAAAGGUAAAGCGACCAGUAGUAACGUUGAACAAGAAGAGGUCGUUUUAGAACAACCCGGCCUAACGUUAGGGAAGAAGGUAAAAAAAAAUGGUGUGAUAGUUGCGACACAGUUGAGGAAUUGCAGCUGGAAGGUAAAUUGGGUGAUUAAAGGUUUUUUUGCAUCUUAUUUUGUCAUCAGCCAGCGAAUUUCAACUGUCGUGUUGAUGCAUUUGUUGAUAUUGUUAAGGCGUUGAGGGUAGAUGACGAUAAAAUAAAAUUGUUGGAGGAAAGUGGUUUUGGAGGGUUGUUGACGUUGCAAGUAAUGAAGUUGGAUUGCAGGUUUUGUUACUGGCUUAUGGCAAGGGUUGAUCCUGAGAAGAAGAUGUUAACUGGAGGAGAUGGAAGGGAGUUACCUUUAUGCCCUGAACAAUGGAGGUGCAUAUUUGGUCUUCUUCGGGGUCCAAACCCCGUUCCUGUUAGAGUUCAGAAUGCUGCUAUGCAAGAAAAAGUUGAUCGUAUUGUUUAGGAUUGUGGUCAGAUGUCAAAAGACGACGUCUAUCAUAUUGUGAUUCAACAGGCAGUUUAUGAGUUGCCUUUGAUGCCAAUCAUAACAGACAAUGAGAGGGACCAGUUAUGAAGGCAUUUCUGAUAGUGAUGUUGGGACUACUGUUAUGUCCUACUAUGAAUGGUCAGAGCAUGGCAACUGCCUUAUUGCCCGCUGUUUCGCUUGGGGCUGCUGCAAGGGAUUUCGAUUGGUGUUCAUGUGCACACGGUUGGUUGAUGACCUGUGUGCGAGAUUUUAGGAAGAAGCUUGAGAGCAAAGGGUAUGCAGCUGGUGGUGGUGGAUGCGUUCUAUUCCUUCAGAUUUUUUACUUGGACCACAUUGCAUUGCCUCCUUUGAGUUGGGGGCAUAUGCCAAGAUUGGAGGUGUGGACUUAGAAGAAACUUGGUGUUGCUAUUCAAGCUGAUUUGCUCCUGUCAUUAGACUGUGGGAAACUCAAAACUCUUGAUGUAGCUACGGGGAACGACAUCCUUUGGUUGGAAGGGACCACUUCCAACUGUUGGAAGUGAGGAUUGCAAAUGAGGUUGUGGAAAUGAUGAAGCCUAUUCUGAAGCCUAUGUUUGAGAAUAUGGAGAAGAUGCUUAAAGAUCGCAACAACAUGCCUACUAUGAGGAAUGCGCCGAAGGAAAGGUCCCCUGUUCCUAGGAGUGGUGUUGUUACUUCUUCUAGCUCUAACUCAAUCAAGGAGCGCGAGUUGGAGUCACCUAAUGUGAACAGGACUUUGAUGAGUCUAUUAUAUAUAUACUUUUAUUCCCCGUCCCAUGGUCAUAUUUGUGCUUAUUUGAGCUAUACGGAGCUACUUUUAUUACUAACAUACGAUUUGUAGUGUUUUUGUAGUGUUGGUAUUAUUUUGUAGGAAUUUGCAGAUUUAUGACAACUUCGAGCUUAUUAAACCACUACGAAGAUAUUAGAGUUUGGAUAGUAUUUUAUGACCGUAUGUGUAAUGCCCAAAGUCGAGCUGAUUUUAAUUCGGUGACUGAGGGCUCGAUUGAUGAAAAGGUCCAAGUUUUACAAAGUAGUAUCACGGACUAAGUAAUAAUCAAGUCAAGUCCAAAAGAAGAGAUUGGGCAGGUUUGAAUUAGCUCACUUGCAAGUUAAAAGAUCCAAUCUCGUGGAGCUGCUGGGCGAGAAGUAACGGGCCAGAUCGGGAGGCCCAAUGCCUGAUCUGGGCGCGAGACUCUUCGUAUUUGGGCUUCUGAUUGAUUAGUUUCCUUGUUUUAGUGGGAGUUGGGGAUUUGGACUUUUCUUAUAAAUAGGAGGGAGUUACGUAGGCUGGGGUUAGGUUGGUAGUAUUAGUUUUAGUUUAGUUUUUCAUUAGUUUAGUUGUACGUUUAUUGCUUUAGUAUUAAAAAUACUUAUGUGUACUUUUGUUUAAUUUACCGUUUUCAUGUUUAGUCUUUCAUUAUUAUUUCUAAUAUGCUUUAUUUAAUUGUUUUAUUUAAUUGCUUAUUGAUUUUAAUCAUGUUGAAUUUAAUUGCUUUGAUUAGUUUAGAUUUUAUUAUGUGCAAGUAGUUUAAUUCUAGGGUUCUGGGGGAUUCAUAAUUAAUACGAAGGGAUAAAUUGUGUUGGUUGAUUAUUGAUAUUGCAUAAUAAUUUCUGAAUGGAUUGUUUUAAUUCUUUGCAAUU